rnacentral:rRNA from 1 species
GAUAAACGCUAGCGGCAGGCUUAACACAUGCAAGUCGAGGGGCAGCAUAGAUUGUAGCAAUACAAUUGGUGGCGACCGGCGCACGGGUGCGUAACGCGUAUGCAACCUACCCGUCACAGGGGGAUAAUCCGGAGAAAUCUGGUCUAAUACCCCAUAACAUAUGGAUCGGCAUCGGUUCAUGUUGAAAUUUUCGGAGGUGACGGAUGGGCAUGCGUAGCAUUAGCUUGUUGGUGAGGUAACGGCUCACCAAGGCGACGAUGCUUAGGGGGGAUGAGAGGUUUUCCCCCCACCCCGGUACUGAGACACGGACCAGACUCCUACGGGAGGCAGCAGUGAGGAAUAUUGGUCAAUGGGCGCAAGCCUGAACCAGCCAUGCCGCGUGCAGGAUGACGGCUCUAUGAGUUGUAAACUGCUUUUGUACGAGGGUAAAGUGGGUUACGUGUAACCUUUUGAAAGUAUCGUACGAAUAAGGAUCGGCUAACUCCGUGCCAGCAGCCGCAGUAA